rnacentral:lncRNA from 1 species
CCAACUCUCCUCUGAAGGAAAGAAGUAAAUUGUUAUAACAAAGAACACCAGCGAAGUCUUGUCAACAUCACUUUCUGAUGGCAAAGCCCAGUAAAGUUGAAUACAUAGAGGCUUGUGUCCUGUCAUUUGGAUUUGCAGAACAUAUUACUGUAUCUGAUGUACACAAAUCUUCACAAACCAGAUUGCUGCUAUGAGACUGUGGAUUAAAAACACUAA